UACGAAGGGGGCUAGCGUUGCUCGGAAUCACUGGGCGUAAAGCGCACGUAGGCGGCUUUCUAAGUCAGGGGUGAAAUCCUGGAGCUCAACUCCAGAACUGCCUUUGAUACUGGCGAUCUCGAGUUCGGGAGAGGUGAGUGGAACUGCGAGUGUAGAGGUGAAAUUCGUAGAUAUUCGCAAGAACACCAGUGGCGAAGGCGGCUCACUGGCCCGAUACUGACGCUGAGGUGCGAAAGCGUGGGGAGCAAACAGG
rnacentral:rRNA from 1 species